rnacentral:rRNA from 1 species
UACGUAGGGGGCGAGCGUUGUCCGGAAUUACUGGCGUAAAGGGCGCGCAGGCGGCCGUGUAAGUCCGCUGUGAAAGACCGGGCUCAACCCGGGGUGUCAGCGGGACUGCACGGCUGGAGUCCCGGAGGGGAGGCGGAAUACCUGGUGUAGCGGUGGAAUGCGUAGAGAUCAGGUGGAACACCGAUGGCGAAGGCAGCCUCCUGGACGGGUACUGACGCUGAGGCGCGAAAGCGUGGGAGCGAACGG